CAAGUAGGGAGUGUCAUGGCGGAUCAAGUGGCACAGGUCUGUCAGGUGGUGUUUGUCCCGUGCCAAGAACACAGCCUUGCCUGGAGAGGGGAAAGAAAAGACGACAAGGCUGAAGUUAGCUACCUUUGUUGAACAAGCUGAUUAAAGCGAGGCAUCAAGCAUCAGUCUUACCUCGGUGUCCACGUGCGUUCUUCACCACCACUGGGUAGCCCAGCGGCUCGGCUUCAUCAAUCAUCUUUCGGAAGUUGUCAUGUCCACCUGAGAAAGACCCACGUGCAGGUAAACGCACAAGCGCCACAGGAUUAAACGGGAAUGUAAUGUGUUAAAAGGAGCAUUCUUUGAUUGUGAAGAGGCGGGCGUGGGGGGGAUGGUGGGUACAUGUCGCCAUGACAACAAAACUGACUCAAAACGGCAAUGCCGUGCCGCUGCAAGAUGAAUAAGAUUGGACGUGAGCAGUUGAUGGAGCAGGCAAAAACAGCUUUCAGUUAAUAUGCUCCUGUUGUAAGGCUAAAAUGAGUCAAGACAAAAUGUGUUAAGAACAUUAGGAAUACAAGUAUAAUGAUAAAUCUGACUGAACAUAAUAAAGACCCAGUGUAUGAUUCUCUCCUUGUUUUCACAUGGCUGACUGCUCAAAUCUGGCAUCCAUUGAAGGGAACAGAUGUGAUCCACUCGGUCACAUGUUUUUUUCCAGACUCACUGAUUCACAUGCUUUCCACCAGAGAGACGGAGCGCGAGAGAGAGAGUAAGCAGGGAGAACACGAGGAGGGGAGGAGCGAGGGGAGGCUUAUUUUGUUUCGAAAAGUCAUGAGCGGACAUGGGGUCAGGCAGCAGGACUGUUGCAUAAGCUCUGUAUCCACUCUGCAUGGAUUGCCUGGACUACGCCGAAGAGAGACCGAUGGAAUGCAGGCCAAACAUCACCCUCGUUCUCUCACUCUCUUCCGGCUUCAAUCAGUGUUGUGCUCUUGUAUUUUUUUUUAAUCCAAGGAAUUGUGGGACUCGUGCUGUUGGCUUAAUUUUUCCCCCUCUUAUAAAUGAAUGUAAAGUAAAAAACACGAAGAAAGAACGAUUCUGUCUGAUAUGAGCGUUCAUUCAUUCCCAGUGUUGUAUUUUGAUUUAAUUUUCUUUUUCAUCUUUAACAUUUUUUUCAUAUUUAUUGUGUUCUGUCUAGUUUUGGGCAUUUCUUUUCUCACAUUUCGAAUUUACUCCUGUAAACCUUUGAUUUUAUUUACAUGCAAUUUUAUAUUUUUUCCACAUGAAAUUUGAACUUUAUUCUUUAAAAGUGUAUUUUUUCUCUUUAUAUUGCAACCGUAGGGAUACAAGCGCUCUCUAUUUUGAGAAACAUUUAGGCUUAUUGUUUUGGGGGGUACUUUGUGUGAAAAGUUCAAGAAGCACUGGCCUUGGGGAUAGGAGAAUGUCUCUCUUGCGAG